rnacentral:lncRNA from 1 species
GGUGUCCAUAAUACUUGUCCAUGAACUAAUAGAUCCAGUGCAAAAAUACCUUAGCCAUAACACUACCUUUCUCAUGAGUGAGAGUGGGAAAAGGCAUAACUUGAUUACACUUUUGGGAUAUAUAUGCAUCAUUGAAUGGAGCAUAGACUUCCAUGAAGCCAUUUAAGUGGACGUUCAGGCUUCAUGUGCCUCACACCCAAAAAGUCCCUCUAAGUUGAGCAAUUGUAUUAUUACACAUGUAAAAUAAAAUAUUCCAUGCUCCUCGAUAGGGGGAAUACAAAUGGCACUUUCAUGAUCUUCGGCCUCAUGGAUCCUGAUGAUUUGGGAAUAAUAAUAUUUACCUAAUCAAAGAUCAAAAACAAAAAGGAAAUUAAAUUAAAUUUGCUACGGGUGCACCCAUGUAAAAAUCACAUCGUACAAGCAAAAUUUAUAUUUCACUCCCCAACAACGGCGCCAUUUUAAUAAUUCUCAACUCACUCCCAUUCUUGUAGGUGAAUUGGUUAUUGUCAAUACACAAAUUAGAGUUGGGGUCUAAUCCACAAGGAGCGAAUUAUAACUUUCAAGUCCUAUAGGUGCUCUAAUUACUAAAAGGAUACCCGGAAAGACAAUUAACAUGACAUGUAAAAUAAAAUGGGGGGGGGGGGUUAAAUUGGGAUUGGUUUAUAACGAUUUUUGACUAACAAUGCACGAAUGUAAUAUUUAUGAUUUAAAAUCAAAAUUUGAGAAGAUCUUAGGACUAUGUCUACCUAAGGUAAAGCAUGUAGGUUGAUGAUGGUUUGGCAUGAAAAGUUGUUGUUACUAAAGGAUAAGCUAGGUCAAAAGUCAUUAUAAUUAAUCUUUCAAUAAAACUCCAACGAUUUAACCCAUUGGCUCUUUUGAGCACCUAACAUGUGCAAAAUUCCUAAUCACGAAAAACAUCAAUCAAGCAUCCUUAUUUCUAAGAUGAUGCUUUUGUCAUGAUUUAUACUCCAAUUACACUUAUAUUUAUAAUUGCAAAUACAUGUAAUCCAUAGGUUUAAUUAUGAGCCAUUGCCUUGCCCCCCUAUAACCCUCUUUCAAGAAUGAAAUGGGUUACCUUAUAUUCCACUUAAUCCUUUUUUUCAAUGAUGAUGAACGGUUUAUUGAGUUUGGGGUUUUCAACCCUCAAACCUAUUUGGAGAUUUGUGGUUUUCACCAACAAAUUCCAAUUCAUCAACUCCAAAAAUGGUGGAAUACAUACUCAACAACCAGGAAUCAUGCAAACGCAACAACAACAAAACACAAUAAAACAUUUGUUCAACAUAAUCCCAAGACUAGAGAAAUUAGCUACUCAUGAGAUAGGGGAAAAUACUUUUAC